UCUAGAACUUCAGAUAUGGGCCGAACACUGAACAGUGUCUGGGCUGCAGGACAGAUUCUGACUUCUCCGUUGUUGCUAACAUUUGGACUUCCUGGCAGCAGAAUUGAGUCUUGGAUUCCUAUGAAUGUUUUAGGCCUAUGUCUUAGCUUUCUAGC
rfam:Populus trichocarpa scaffold_7_contig_145, whole genome shotgun sequence.